rnacentral:rRNA from 1 species
CUACAGAGGGUGCAAGCGUUAAUCGGAAUUACUGGGCGUAAAGCGCACGUAGGUGGUUCAUUAAGUCAGAUGUGAAAGCCCCGGGCUCAACCUGGGAACUGCAUUUGAAACUGGUGAGCUAGAGUAUGGUAGAGGUAAGUGGAAUUCCAGGUGUAGCGGUGAAAUGCGUAGAUAUCUGGAGGAACAUCAGUGGCGAAGGCGACUUACUGGACCAAUACUGACACUGAGGUGCGAAAGCGUGGGGAGCAAACAGGAUUAGAAACCCUAGUAGUCC